CACCUGAUUCCAUGCCGAACUCAGAAGUGAAACACAAUAGCGCCGAUGGUAGUGUGGGGUUUCCCCAUGUGAGAGUAGGACAUCGCCAGGC
rnacentral:rRNA from 1 species